UACGUAGGGGGCUAGCGUUGUCCGGAAUCAUUGGGCGUAAAGAGCGUGUAGGCGGCCCGCUAAGUCGAACGUGAAAUCCCCAGGCUCAACCUGGGAACUGCGUCCGAUACUGGCAGGCUUGAAUCCGGGAGAGGGAUGUGGAAUUCCAGGUGUAGCGGUGAAAUGCGUAGAUAUCUGGAGGAACACCGGUGGCGAAGGCGGCAUCCUGGACCGGUAUUGACGCUGAGGCGCGAAAGCUAGGGGAGCAAACGGG
rnacentral:rRNA from 1 species